UAAUGUAACACCCCUUACCCGUAUUCGUCGCCGGAAUAGGGUAGGAGACAUUACCGGAGUUUACCGAAUUAAUUUUCCAUUAAUACGAGUUAAAUACUAUUCAUUUACUAAAACAUGUCAUGGCGUCCUUUAGAUGGGCCUCCAAAGCCCAAAACAUACUUCGAGACCAAACCAGAAUUAAAUCGAAACCAUAGGGAAUUUUUCACAAAAUCCCAAAGUUU
rnacentral:lncRNA from 1 species